CCUACGGGUGACAGCAGUGGGGAAUAUUGCACAAUGGGGGAAACCCUGAUGCAGCGACGCCGCGUGAGUGAAGAAGUAAUUCGUUACGUAAAGCUCUAUCAGCAGGGAAGAAAUACUGACCUGACGGUCAGAAGACGGUACCUGAGUAAUAAGCCCCGGCUGACUACGGGCCAGAAGCCGCGGUAAUACGUAGGGGGUACGCGUUAUCCGGAUUUACUGGGUGUAAAGGGAGCGUAGAAGGUGCGAGAAGUCUGGUGUGAAAGGCCGCAGCGCAACUGCGGAACUGCUUUGGAAACUGGCGAACUAGAGUGCGGAAGGGGCAGGCGGAAUUCCUAGUGUAGCGGUGAAAUGCGUAGAUAUUAGGAGGAACACCGGUGGCGAAGGCGGCGUACUGGACCGUAACUGACGUUGAGGCUCGAAAGCGUGGGGAGCAAACAGGAUUAGAUACCCCGGUAGUC
rnacentral:rRNA from 1 species